rnacentral:rRNA from 1 species
GACGAACGCUGGCGGCGUGCUUAACACAUGCAAGUCGAACGAUGAAGCCGGAGCUUGCUCUGGUGAAUUAGUGGCGAACGGGUGAGUAACACGUGAGUAACCUGCCCUUGACUCUGGGAUUACUGCUAGAAAUGGUAGCUAAUACCGGAUACGACCCUCGGAGGCAUCUCCAGGGGGUGGAAAGAAUUUCGGUCAAGGAUGGACUCGCGGCCUAUCAGCUAGUUGGUGAGGUAAUGGCUCACCAAGGCGACGACGGGUAGCCGGCCUGAGAGGGUGGCCGGCCACACUGGGACUGAGACACGGCCCAGACUCCUACGGGAGGCAGCAGUGGGGAAUAUUGCACAAUGGGCGCAAGCCUGAUGCAGCAACGCCGCGUGAGGGAUGACGGCCUUCGGGUUGUAAACCUCUUUUAGUAGGGAAGAAGCGAAAGUGACGGUACCUGCAGAAAAAGCACCGGCUAACUACGUGCCAGCAGCCGCCGUAA